rnacentral:rRNA from 1 species
UGAGUGGCGAACGGGUGAGUAACACGUGAGUAACCUGCCCUCUUCUUUGGGAUAACGCCCGGAAACGGGUGCUAAUACUGGAUAUUCACUGGCCUUCGCAUGGGGGUUGGUGGAAAGGUUUGUUCUGGUGGGGGAUGGGCUCGCGGCCUAUCAGCUUGUUGGUGGGGUGAUGGCCUACCAAGGCUUUGACGGGUAGCCGGCCUGAGAGGGUGACCGGUCACAUUGGGACUGAGAUACGGCCCAG